CCUACGGGGGGCAGCAGUGGGGAAUAUUGGACAAUGGGGGCAACCCUGAUCCAGCCAUGCCGCGUGUGUGAAGAAGGCCCUCGGGUUGUAAAGCACUUUCAGUGAGGAAGAACGCCUGGUGGUUAAUACCCAUCAGGAAAGACAUCACUCACAGAAGAAGCACCGGCUAACUCCGUGCCAGCAGCCGCGGUAAUACGGAGGGUGCGAGCGUUAAUCGGAAUUACUGGGCGUAAAGCGCGCGUAGGUGGCUUGAUAAGCCGGUUGUGAAAGCCCCGGGCUCAACCUGGGAACGGCAUCCGGAACUGUCAAGCUAGAGAGCAGGAUAGGAAGGUAGAAUUCCCGGUGUAGCGGUGAAAUGCGUAGAGAUCGGGAGGAAUACCAGUGGCGAAGGCGGCCAUCUGGAAUGACACUGACACUGAGGUGCGAAAGCGUGGGUAGCAAACAGGAAUAGCUACACCAGUAGUC
rnacentral:rRNA from 1 species